CAUUCUUUUCUCUACAGGUUGAUCAGAGCCAAAUCACCAAAACACGAACCUUGCCGGAGAGCCGCCGCACCCGAGAGCACCGCCGCCGGUAAGCUUCGGUUUUUCGUAAUUUUUUGGCCCCCCGAGGGCCCUGGGGUUGUUUUAUCGUAGGGACCGAUGCAAGUGUGGCCAAAUUCGGCCAAAAACGGCCGAAAACAGCUAACCUGAGGCGAAUCGCUGCUGCAAACGGUGACACCGUCGCCGGAGCACGGCGGAGCCGCCGUGCCGAAAUUGCUAUAUUGGCCGAAAGGGGCCCUGGGUCUUACUUGGGAUUUUUUUGGGACACGUGCAGGUACUAGUAGUGCGUUUCAGCUCCCCGGAAAAA
rnacentral:lncRNA from 1 species